rnacentral:rRNA from 1 species
CCUACGGGCGGCAGCAGUGAGGAAUAUUGGUCAAUGGCCGGAAGGCUGAACCAGCCAUGCCGCGUGAAGGUCAGUGCCCUAUGGGCGUUAAACUUCUUUUGUGCGGGAGCAAUAAUGGUCACGUGUGGCCAGACGAGAGUACCGUACGAAUAAGCAUCGGCUAACUCCGUGCCAGCAGCCGCGGUAAUACGGGGGAUGCAAGUGUUAUCCGGAUUUAUUGGGUUUAAAGGGUGCGUAGGCUGUGAGGUAAGUCAGCGGUGAAAUGCCCCCGCUCAACGGGGUGAAGUGCCAUUGAUACUGCCUUGCUGGAAUGCGGGUGCCGUGGGAGGAAUGUGUGGUGUAGCGGUGAAAUGCAUAGAUAUCACACAGAACACCGAUUGCGAAGGCAGCUCACGAAUCCGCGAUUGACGCUGAUGCACGAAAGCGUGGGUAUCAAACAGGAUUAGAUACCCGAGUAGUC